GGCNNNAACCACAAUGGGCAAAGGUCGGAGGCGGUAGCACAGAGAGCUUGCUCUCGGGUGACGAGCGGCGGACGGGUGAGUAAUGUCUGGGAAACUGCCUGAUGGAGGGGGAUAACUACUGGAAACGGUAGCUAAUACCGCAUAAUGUCGCAAGACCAAAGUGGGGGACCUUCGGGCCUCAUGCCAUCAGAUGUGCCCAGAUGGGAUUAGCUAGUAGGUGGGGUAACGGCUCACCUAGGCGACGAUCCCUAGCUGGUCUGAGAGGAUGACCAGCCACACUGGAACUGAGACACGGUCCAGACUCCUACGGGAGGCAGCAGUGGGGAAUAUUGCACAAUGGGCGCAAGCCUGAUGCAGCCAUGCCGCGUGUGUGAAGAAGGCCUUCGGGUUGUAAAGCACUUUCAGCGGGGAGGAAGGCGUUAAGGUUAAUAACCUUGGCGAUUGACGUUACCCGCAGAAGAAGCACCGGCUAACUCCGUGCCAGCAGCCGCGGUAAUACGGAGGGUGCAAGCGUUAAUCGGAAUUACUGGGCGUAAAGCGCACGCAGGCGGUCUGUCAAGUCGGAUGUGAAAUCCCCGGGCUCAACCUGGGAACUGCAUUCGAAACUGGCAGGCUAGAGUCUUGUAGAGGGGGGUAGAAUUCCAGGUGUAGCGGUGAAAUGCGUAGAGAUCUGGAGGAAUACCGGUGGCGAAGGCGGCCCCCUGGACAAAGACUGACGCUCAGGUGCGAAAGCGUGGGGAGCAAACAGGAUUAGAUACCCUGGUAGUCCACGCCGUAAACGAUGUCGAUUUGGAGGUUGUGCCCUUGAGGCGUGGCUUCCGGAGCUAACGCGUUAAAUCGACCGCCUGGGGAGUACGGCCGCAAGGUUAAAACUCAAAUGAAUUGACGGGGGCCCGCACAAGCGGUGGAGCAUGUGGUUUAAUUCGAUGCAACGCGAAGAACCUUA
rnacentral:rRNA from 1 species